UAAAUAUGAUUAUAGAUACUUUAGUUACUAACAUUUUAUGUUCUUAGCAAUAAAUUGUGUAUUCAAGGUUAGUAAUAAAAUUUGAUUUUUCAUUUAGGAAAACAAGUAGAAUAGCCAGCUUAAUCACCAAUACAAAGGCUUAAAGGAUAAAGAUGAUAUCUCGAGAUAAGGUAAUCUUUAGAGGUUACAACCAAUCUCUUGUGCAAGCCUCCAUCAAACGAUCAAGGCGUGGGAUAGGUUGGAGUACUCGUGGGCUAGUUGCGCACUUUCGUAAUCAGGUAAUCCAUAAGCUUAGGCGGAUCGGUGUUGCGAGGGACUCAAAGGCAGCCACACAACUGCAUUUACUAUCAUAUUUACUUUUAUUUUUAUAAGUAAUUUUAAUUUGAAUAUUUUUACUGUAAUAAGGCCUCUAUGGAUUUAACUUUAA